CGCCAAGUGAGGGGAGCUCCAAG
rnacentral:piRNA from 1 species